AAAAGUAUAGCUAUAAUAAAGUAACAGAUUCUUACUCUGUAGAAGAGGUUUAAACUCUAUUUUUA
rnacentral:tRNA from 1 species